CAGUCGCCGCGGUAAUACAGAGGAUGCAAGCGUUAUCCGGAAUGAUUGGGCGUAAAGCGUCUGUAGGUGGCUUUUCAAGUCCGCCGUCAAAUCCCAGGGCUCAACCCUGGACAGGCGGUGGAAAUUACCAAGCUGGAGUACGGUAGGGGCAGAGGGAAUUUCCGGUGGAGCGGUGAAAUGCGUUGAGAUCGGAAAGAACACCAGCGGCGAAAGCACUCUGCUGGGCCGACACUGACACUGAGAGACGAAAGCUAGGGGAGCAAAUGGGAUUAGAUACCCCCGUAGUCCCUGUCCCUUAUAC
rnacentral:rRNA from 1 species